GAUUCCAUAGUGUAGGGGUUAUCACAUCUGCCUAACACGCAGAAGGUCCCCGGUUCGAGCCCGGGCGGAAUCA
rnacentral:tRNA from 1 species